GAAAUCGUUAUCACAGCUAGAAAUCUCGUCCCUUAUUUGAACCUGAACAGUGGGAUCUCUGGUGAUGUAGUACAAUAUGAAGGCCAAAGUAUUUGCCAGCUGGAAAGUGAAAUCUUCGAAUUAAUAGUUCCGAUCAUAUAGAACUAGUGAAAG